CGGGCAAUUUAUCAAUCCACGAGCGAAAGAACGACUCCUGGCCCGGCGGGUAAUUUAACAAGAUUGAUGCGAAGCCGACAUGCCACAGUUUCGCAGCUCGUCGAGAAGGGGUCGGUUCGUGUAGGUGGUGCGAGCCCGAUGUCGAGGGUGUUCGAAGGGAAGAGAAGGGCAGACGUGUGAGCGACUGGUUAUUAGGAAGGCUCAUCAAGCAGACCGGUACAGAAUCACGCAGCGCAUUAAAACAACGCCAAGUCUGAUGGAGAUUACUAACAUCGGUGCGAGUGCCAGAAUCACUGCCGUGUUACGAUCCUCUUUUUCUUUUUAUUUUUAUUCUAGUUCUUCAACUUUAUUCUUUUUAUAUAAUACUUCCGGAUUCUUCGAAAGACCUGGCCUAUAAAGAAUCGAGAAAGCUUGGACUACUGUUUUCUAAUAUACGAUGGCAACGACGAUGUAACAUUUCUUAAUGCAAGUUGAAUUUUAUGCCCAUGCUUAUGAUUAAGGCAUGCCUUUGGAGAGCAUAAAGGCAGAUUUAUUGUAAGCGCCGAUGGAGUUUAGUCGGUCGGUAAUGUCGACUUAUCACGAUCCUUCAUCCACCGGAUGUUGCCGUAAUUAUUCAGCCGUAAGCAAGGAUGAACCGGGGAGGCGUCAAGGACAGCAGAGGCCUGCCGAGGGAAACAAUAUUAAUUGGCUCGUUUAUUGCGGCGUGGGCGGCCGUAUGCGUUGCUUUAUACGUCAACUUUCCAUGGAUUGCUAAAGGGGUUAGUGAUGAGGAGUAGGAUGAGGAGGAGGACCAACACGCAUCUACGUUUUUCGAUAAAGGAUAUAAACACAUAUCGGGCUGGCGUAAUAAAUGCCAGAUUUAUGGCGGCAAACGAAGCGACAGCUAGCUUCGUCGUUCCUACAGCGUCGAGUGGGAAAGAAAUAUUACACUUCGGUCUUUUCACGCGACGACGACGACGACGACGACGAGAACGACGACUACGACGACAACGAUGGCUGAAAGCUGUCGUGCGUCGAGUACCCCAUGACUGCUGUGCUCGUAAAGCUCGUGAACAUCGCUAAAGCCGCACAUGUACACGUCUAAACUUUUUUCUCUUUUUCUAUAUUUUUUAUCCCCUUUUUUGUAAUCUUCCUACCACUGUUUUACGGUCAACAAUCUCCAGGAUACAACGAAUUCUUUGAUAUACCUCUAACAUUCUACGAUAAUAUAAUUAAAGUUGUUUCUUAUAAUAUUAAA